rnacentral:rRNA from 1 species
CCUACGGGAGGCAGCAGUGAGGAAUAUUGGUCAAUGGACGAGAGUCUGAACCAGCCAAGUAGCGUGAAGGAUGACUGCCCUAUGGGUUGUAAACUUCUUUUAUAAAGGAAUAAAACGAGGCACGUGUGCCCUUUUGCAUGUACUUUAUGAAUAAGGAUCGGCUAACUCCGUGCCAGCAGCCGCGGUAAUACGGAGGAUCCGAGCGUUAUCCGGAUUUAUUGGGUUUAAAGGGAGCGUAGAUGGGUUGUUAAGUCAGUUGUGAAAGUUUGCGGCUCAACCGUAAAAUUGCAAUUGAUACUGGCAGUCUUGAGUACAGGUGAGGUAGGCGGAAUUCGUGGUGUAGCGGUGAAAUGCUUAGAUAUCACGAAGAACCCCGAUUGCGAAGGCAGCUUACUAAACUGUGACUGACAUUGAUGCUCGAAAGUGUGGGUAUCAAACAGGAUUAGAUACCCGGGUAGUC